rnacentral:rRNA from 1 species
CAGUAGCCGCGGGAAUACAGAGGGUGCGAGCGUUAAUCGGAUUUACUGGGCGUAAAGCGUGCGUAGGCGGCUUUUUAAGUCGGAUGUGAAAUCCCUGAGCUUAACUUAGGAAUUGCAUUCGAUACUGGGAAGCUGGAGUAUGGGAGAGGAUGGUAGAAUUCCAGGUGUAGCGGUGAAAUGCGUAGAGAUCUGGAGGAAUACCGAUGGCGAAGGCAGCCAUCUGGCCUAAUACUGACGCUGAGGUACGAAAGCAUGGGGAGCAAACAGGAUUAGAUACCCCAGUAGUCCCUGUCUCUUAUAA